UACGUAGGGGGCAAGCGUUGUCCGGAAUCAUUGGGCGUAAAGCGCGUGUAGGCGGCUUGGUAAGUCCGCUCUGAAAGCCCGGGGCUCAACCCCGGGAGGCGGGUGGAUACUGUCAAGCUCGAGUCCGGAAGAGGCGAGUGGAAUUCCUGGUGUAGCGGUGAAAUGCGCAGAUAUCGGGAGGAACACCUGUGGCGAAAGCGGCUCACUGGACCACAACUGACGCUGAGGCGCGAAAGCUAGGGGAGCAAACAGG
rnacentral:rRNA from 1 species